AAACCAAACAUUUCUAAACUGUUUCUGUUACCUAGAGUUAAGUUAUGAUUCAUGGUCGAUAAAUUUAACUCUUAAAAGUUCAUGAAACAGUCUGAAAAGCUGUUGGUCUAAAGAAACUAAAGAGCGAUAACUCGGCUUCUGGAGCACAUAGAAAAACGGGAAACAUCUCAUUUUAACACAAAUUUCAUGAUUAGACAGAUUAGUACAUUGCUGAAUGCAUAAGAUGUCAUGAUCAGUCAUUUGUAUUCUUUCACCAACGGAAUGUAGUCUUUAUCAGUGCAUGGUCGAGCAGGGUUUUACGACCGAGGUCUGGAGGUCAGUGUCCCCCCUUAUCCUGGGGUCCGUAUGUUCACACACUUUAAGACGCUAAAUCUCAAAUGGGAGAUCUGGGUUGAGGUUAAUGUUUAUUUAGAUGGUCAGCGAUGGAGUCAGUUUGAAAGGUAAUAAAAACUCUGUCUCUGUUCUCCGAAUCGACCAAUCGUGAAGAGUCAGAGGUUUAGUCAACCUCCGGUUGGGUCACUUAUUUAACCUGAAAGUGUAAACGAGUCUGGAAAGAUUUAUAUCCUGUUUCCUGGGACCAGAUAAGGAAACUUUCCUCUGAGGAAUGUGUGGGUUUCACACCCAGGGUUGUCUUGAUUGCUACACACCAAAUAUCAGGGCUGCACGAUAUCAGAAACACAGUUGGGUUUUUUUAAGAAUAAAUACAGGACACAUCAAGGAUCAAACCAGAGAAUCACAGUGUUUUAUAAUUUUGUUUCAUCGAGAACUUUAAAAAACAAAGGUUCAUAAACUACCUUGACAGAAAAGCAAAAGCACAACAGAGUAAAAACUGAAAAACCCAGACCCACUGAAAACACAACAUAGUAAUCACAGAUUGUUCCCAAGUCCAGGGUCUCGAACAGAAAAAGCACCAACUCAGGAAUUCCUUUACCUUUAAGCCUCAAAUUUGGAAGGACCUGGAGGUUCCUACAAGAAAAUCCAAGGCUCAGAAGGGGUCAGCAGUUCUAAAAUUUAACUCAGUCAAUCCAGACAUGCUCACAGGGGCUGAGACCAGGGUGAUGUGAUACCAUCUGUUUAAGCCAAUUGAGAAGCUAAGCUGUUGCAUUCUGAGCUGCCGAGGGAGUAAGUUAAGGUUCAUACCUGGAAAGUGCUGACUCUUACAGUAAAUAGCAUGCCACCUCAGACCUCAGCAUCAGCUGAUUUUUGUCUCAUUGACAUUGACAGAUUUUAAACUAUUUAUCAUCAAGGUAUGAUCAUGCUUCCUUAACUGACCUCUUUGCUGCUGCUGGUACUCAUUUUAAGGGUUAACACUUAAACAUAAAAAAGCUCUUCUCUGAUUGGCCAAUAAAAGUAUUCUUGCCAGCUGCAGCAAUCUUCUCCUUCCUGCUGUGGACACAUGGGGCUAAUUUACAGCUCAGGAGCUCAGAUUCACCUUCAAAGUUAAUUCCAGCCGGCUCCUCUGCCUCUGUCACCUUCAAUUAUUAUCUCUGCUCUUUGCGGAGAGGUCACAGCGGAGGUCACCAACCCGCCGCUGACGUCUCCAGCAGGAAGUGGUUGUCCAACUGGCUCCGGUCUCUCUUGACUGUGACCCCUGGUGCCCUACAGGUGUGUUUUUCAGGUCAUCCUGCCAAUUAGAAAGCUCAUGUGUAUGCAGAGGCAGCAAUGCUCAUUAAACUAAUAUGAAUGCAAUUUUACUGGCCAGAUAAACAGGGUUUUUAAAUAGUAAAAAAGCAGAGAUCAUUCUGAGCUCCUCUGCAGCAUGUCCUGAUUAUUCACUUUUUAAUUGGUCUGAAGUUUGCAGGAACGUCAGGAGUUGUGAAAUUCACUCCAGUUUAUGACACCUUCUUAUCUGGAGAGUGUUUAAACCGGAGUUGUUGGCAUGUGCUUACAUACAAUAAGUCAGAUCAGUGUCCACAUUUCAAUGGGGGCAAAGCAGCAACUGGGUCAAAACACUCGUCGCCAAUUGGGGGUGGGGGGGUGGGUCUUCAGUUUUUUGCCUUUGAUUCAAAUUAUUUUGCAACAUCUCACCACUGUACUAAGAUACUCUGAUAAUGCUGGACCCCAGAAAUACCAAUCUAACAUUAAUACAUCUAUAUUAAAGGUCAACACUAGGUCCACAUUUCAAGGUCCUCUAAAGCAGGGUUCCUGGUUCAUGAUGAUUUAAAGGUUACCUAAAGCAAUCCAAAUCAAUUUAUUGUUUGUCCAUGAUUUCCAAAAAGAAUGUCAGGUUGUGAUCCAUCAGACCAUCAGAGAGGUCUUUGGGUUCCUCUCAAAUAAAGGUUUUAAAUGUUUUGUAACUAUCAGAAUCAGUUUAGGUUACAGAUGCAGAUAACCAACAUUAGAGUUGGCAUAAAGAGAGGAGCCAAAAAGAAGUUAAAAAAGCCUGAUUCUUUGAGUCCCUGCACACCUUGCUGUGCUAAGCGUCCAUGAUUGAGUGUCUGAAAAAAGGCUGAAAGGAUGUCAGACCGUUUCUCCUUUAUGGAGAGGUAAGAUGAUGUUUUCAGGAGCUGGCAGCACUUCUUUUCCUCUUUUGGUCUUCAGAGAGUCAUCUGUAUUAAAGGUCUGUGAUCAUCCUGAGAGACAGCUAAUACAAUUUUCUCUCUUUCCACCAAGACGACUGUCUUCAGAAGACACAGAUCCAGUUUUUACACCAAUAAACCAACUCAGUAAGAAGCUCCAACAUUCGGAUAAACCAAACCAGAGACUCUCUUGAAGAUACUUAUUGAUAUGAGUGGAGAAUCACAGACUGAUAGUAAAUCUCAUCAAUCACAGGGGGUAUUUUGUCUUAAACAAGUUCUUGGCCAGUAAAAUAAGAGUUAAAGGAUGCUUGGUGUGGGUUUGGAAAUUAUCAUUCAGAGAGACAAUAACCAGUUAUACUAGGUAACCUUUUUAAGGGUGUUCCACAGGGCUCCUGGGUCUUUUUUUUACCAUCUACAUAAAGGAUGUUGUCUCCAUGCUCUCAAACUGUCAAACAGUCUAUAUGCAGAUGACACCUGAAGAAGUAGAGGCCUUUACUGACCAUAUCAACACAGUGGACAGCAACAUCAAAUUCCGUGAAGAUGUUAAGGACGAUGUGUUGGCCUUUUUGGACUGUGCUGUACACUUGAAGGCAGACGGGUGUCUCAACGUUGAAGUUUACAGGAAACCCACACACACAGAUCAAUAUCUAUUUUUUGAUUCCCACCAUCCUCUACAACACAAACUGGGUGUCAUCAGAACACUCAACCACCGGGGUGAGAACAUUCCCACGAAGAAAGAAGGUGAGGAAAGGAACAGAAGCACAUCAAAAAUGCCCUGACAACCUGUGGAUACCCUAAGUGGGCCUUUGUGAAGAACAAAAAGAAUAAUAACACUGAACACGAAAGGGAGGAGAGACGCAAGAGCACUGUAAUCCCUUACGUUGCAGGCCUGUCGGAAAAACUCAAGAGGAUCUUUGGCAAACACCAUAUUCCUGUUCAUUUCAAGCCUGGCAACACACUAAUUGCAGAGGCUAGUCCAUCCCAAGGACAAAACACCGAGACAUAAACAGAGUAAUGUGAUGUAUGCUGUCUAGUGCAGCGAGGAAUGCUCGGACCUGUACAUUGGGGAAACUAAACAACCGCUUCACAAGCGCAUGGCUCAUCACAGGAGAGCCACUUCCUCAGGUCAGGACUCAGCUGUCCACCUUCACUUGAAGGACAUGGGUCACUCUUUCGAGGACAGCAAUAUACAGGUGCUGGCUAGAGAAGACAGAUGGUUUGAAAGAGGAGUUAAAGAAGCCAUCUUUACCAGGCUGGAGAAACCUUCUCUGAACAGAGGGGGUGGACUCAGGCACAAUCUCUCUGGCACUUACAAUGCAGUUCUCAGCUCUCUCCCCAGGAAGCUCCACAAACACUCACCCCAGGGACCACAUGACCCAGGUUUCGUGGUCACAUGACAGGGGUCAUUAACGACCCUUUUAGGUUAACGAUUGGGGGGGGGGGGGGCACACCCGAAGAUGGGUUUCUACGACCCAACCCCUCCCAGCUGUUGUCUGUCCCCUUCUCCAGUAAGAUAAAUAUCUGCUCCUCACACUACCAAUAAUGAGAACUGAAGAAGCUUCUUGGAUAAGAGGCGAAACGUCUUCUCAACUCUACACAGUCCAGUUGCCUGAUUAUGGAGUCAACCAUGACCUGGAUGAAUGAGAAUCUACAUGGAUGAUCUGUUUGAUAAUUACAGUCUUUUUCCCCCUUUACUAUUUGUCUUUUCUUUCACUUCCAUGUGAUUAUUUUUUUCUCAUUUGAUAAUUUUUGUGGACUCUAACCAGUCUCUUGUCUUUACUCUAUGCAUGUUUUGUGAACUGCCUUUGUAAUAUCUCUGAAAAUAAUCUCUUAAGUCUACACCAAGUGGAAUGAAUGAACAAGUUUUGUCCACCCACCCAUUUUAUUCCCUUUGGCACGUUGGCAGCAGGUCAGCCAGCAACAUUUCCAAGCGGGUCUUCAGUGAGUCUGAGAUAUUCCAAGAUCAGAUCAGAUAUUUAAUCCCUCAACAGAGCUAUGGGUCUACCUCAUGGCCCCAGAAAACCUCCAGGGAGGCUCCCCGAGAUCCUACAGAUACCUGGACCACCUCUGGUUUAGACAUCCUCUCACCAUAUAUCACUCAUGUUCUAAAACCAGCAGAUGGAAAGGUGAUUUUCCAGGUGAGCCCACUGACAGCACAUUUAGUCAGUGAGUCAUUCCUCCCCUCAGGUUGCCAGAUCUGCCUGAGAGGCUGAAGUCUGAGGGCUCUAUUAUCGUGUCCGCCAACGGCGCGGCGGAGGGUGGCAGACCCUGCGCAGUGGUAUUUUCGUCUGGCGGAGCCCGGCAUACAGCCAGUUUGUUUUUUUUUGUGGACUGGGGCGCACCAAGGUCCACCAAGCUGGGCGUGGUGGCGUAUCGGCAUACGUCACUGAUGCCUCACCGGCACCAGUGUCAGGCACAUUUCAGUGCAAUAAACAAUCAACAACAACUAAUAAUCUGAGUCAGCACAUACAUUUAGAGUCCAUGAUAUAUUCUGAUCUGAUCUGAUGAGCGCAUUUGGCACACGUUUGGACACUCAACCUGACCAAACUAACUCCUAGUUAGUUAUUUAAUUUAAGCCUACAUACAAAUAUCAUAAUAUUCAGUUUUGUGAGCCAAAUUUAUUUUAUAUGCCAACAUCUAUGAAAGAAAGAGCCAGGCCACGGAGCGCGAUGCGUCAUUUUCGCACAGAUGGUUCCGAUUUUAAUGCCAUUAUUGGUAUUUAUGUUGUGAUAUGUGCGCACAACCCACCUUUGUCAAGUGAGGUUUAAAUAUGUGUUACUUUAUGUGAGUGUCUUUAUUUGUGGAAAAGGAUGUUUGUCUUACCAGUGGGUACAACCUUUCACACACUUAAUCCCUCUGUGCUUAUAUGAGACAGUGGCUGUGUCCGAAAUGGCCUACUACUCCUACUACUCCUACUAACCCCGCCUCUGAAUUGAGUAGGCAGUGCGUUCACAUUGUACAGUAUGCGAAUUUUGUGUAUGCGAGAAAUGCCCGGAUGUAUACUCAAUCAGCUUCGAUUUCUGAGUGUGCAACGGAGCUUGCUUCACGUACUGCUUCUGCCCCACAAUGCAUUGCGCACCUCAGCUGGUAAUAUGGCCCUCCUUCCCGAGGCUGAAAAGAAAUAGAUGGCAUGUGAUUGCAAUAAUAAUGAUAUAUAUAUAAAUAGAUAAACAAUAUUUAGUCAGUAUACAUUACACAAUUUUCAUCAUUUUAUCAUAUUUUGAUCUUUUUACCAGAUUUAUUUGUAUUUUAAAUUAGGAUUAUAAGUAAUGUUUUUAACUACUCGUAUGAAUUGACUUUAUUUAUUUAAGUGUCUAUUAAAGAUGUAUUUAUUACAUCAAGUUUGAGCAUCUUCUCAUCUCUGAAUGCAUCAUCAAAGUGGUCGCUCAUAUUAAGCUCAGACCUCUGAUUAAUAAAAAUUAUUAUUGGUAGAGAGCACAUGGUUCAGAAUAUACAAACGGGGGAGUUUCCAGUUGACAAUGUAUGUGAGCUUUACUAAUUCUUACUUGUGAUUGAAAAUCUGAUGGUUUCUGAAAUAAUCAUUGUACAUGAAAAGAAUGUAGUCGGGAAAUGAUGUAUUUGCCAAGGAAUGACCGAACGAGUUCAUAAUAAUUAUGUUGUGUGUUGGUCAUUUUGCAGCCCUCUGCUGCUCAUCACACGCCUAGCAGGUGGUGUAUAGCAUUAUCACCAUGGAUACACGGAUGUUUGUGUGAUUUUUUUCAUCCACUGUCGCCCGGUUUGUGUCGUGUAGAUGUUGAUUAUGAAAAAACUUCGCAAUAAUUUGGAAACGUGAAGGGGGAGCUGCUGCUGCCCGGUGUUUACGGUAAAUAGACGCAAACACCGACCAAGUGGACGCUUCGGUCUCCGAAAACGCCGAGACAAAUUUACAAACAGCCACUAUUUCAAACAACUGGGCUCAUAAUCGUGAUGUAAACACUUACUUUCUCUCUAGAAAAAAUAUUAUUAUUGAAUGAAUUUAUAUAAUUUGUCCGGAAUGCAGUCGUUCUGUGUUGCUUGUGGUAGGACUAUUUAAAUUUUCCCGGCGCUGCGUCCGGCCGGCACGAAAUGCAUUCUGGGGUAUUUAGUAUGUAUGUGUGUAAACGCUCGGGCAGCCGCGGCAUACUCAUAUCAUCUUUGAGUAGUCAGUAGGCAGUAGCUACUGCUUGAGUAGGUAAGUAGAUAGUAGGCAGUAUGCCAUUUCGGACACAGCCAGUGUGCAGGACGCCCUCUGCAGCGCUUACAGCGACACAUGUUGAGGAGCUGCCUUCUGUUGCCGUCGUGUGGCAUUGCUGUCUUCAGACAUCUCUUGAUCUCUUUGACUACUUCACAAAAAUUUUAAUACGCUUCUGCGGUGGCAGAUUUAAAGGCGAGGAGAGGAGCUUAUGUUAUUGGUCAAUAAAGCUCUCGGCUGUGUUAAACCUGCUCCACGCUCUCUCUCCUCCCUCCCUACGACUUACGCCGCUGGGAGGAGCUCAGUUAGGGAGGGGGGAUACUUGCGCCGGGCUGCACCGCUCACCAAAAUACCAAAUUGUGCUUGGGAAUGCCUUGUCGGCGCGGUGGACCUGACUUACGCCAUGCCUGCGCCAUGACAUAGAGCUCUGAGUGUUGGUGUGUUCACUCAUUUAUCAUCCUGCCCUUGAUUUGCUGGUUAAAUACUUUCUUGUUGGUCUUACAGAUUUGUCUCUGUGUGAUUCUUGAUUUGAUUGUUUUGGGUUUUGUUACUCGCUGUGUUUCAACUUAAACCUUGACCUGUUUUUUUCUCCUGCAGACAUUUUAAAUAUUGACCAAAUUCUUACUUAAAAGUUGACCAUCCUGACAGGACAGGUUUUUAUCUACUGUUUUUUGAGGUCUGACCUGUCUGGACGCCAAAAGUGAUGUAUCUGUGUAGCGGUUUUAGGAGAUUCUACAUAAAUCUACCGCACAGGACAGAAAUUUGUUUACUUUGACAACCAGUAACAAGUCAGAAAAAAUGCUUCCACUUACUUUGGAUGCAUUUGGCUAUGCCAGAAAAUAACUGAACCAAGGGUCAGAUUCCAUCCUUUUCCAAAUCCAAGACUCUGAACAUCAAAUAGACUCUCUUGCCAUGGAGGCCUCCUGCCUCCAUGACAACAACACCAAUCUGCCCUGGCAUGGCCCUUCUCUCAUCCCUGACUCGGUGCACCCCAUCAUACAGUCUAUCUAGGAAAAUGACCAGGAUUGGCCUUGGCUUAGUGCGAAACCUUAAGUUCAGAACUGUUCCACACCUGCCUCCAUGGAACCUUUGACAGUCAUUCGGGGUAAGAAGCCUGGUCAGAACAACUCCCAAACUCCUUCAUCUGUUUCUACUCGUCCCUGAGGGACAUCCGGCGGGGGAACAGGUGCGAAGAACAAGAAAGAUGAACAAAAACCCAUUCAACAACCUGGAACCUCCUGCAGAUCCUGUCCCGGCAUCACUGAAGCUUCUGUCCUUGGGUCCAGUCAGAGCCUCUGCCCUGAAGUUAGGAGCAGGUAGACACUGUGCACCACCACAGCCUACCUCAUCAAGGAGAAGGAGCCCCAUGCUGUCAAGCAGAGAUGUGAAUUGUGGAGUCACCGAGUCAUCUCCAUGCCAUGUAUUUGUUCUGCUCAGUUACUGAACCAGGUGCCUUCACUAAUGAGCUCACCUUCCUGGCUGCUCACUGGAAGCAGCUGGUUCAGUGACAGAACAGAACAAAUACAUGGCAUGGAGAUGACUUGGUGACUCCACAAUUCCCAUCUCUGCUGUCAAGUGAGCCACAGCUUCAGCCUACCACUCCGGUGCUAGGGGACUCCAUUAUCCAGAAUGUCUGAUUAACUGUUGUUUUCCUGGAGCUACAGUCUGUAACAUUACCAGUAAAGUCACUGAAGUCAUCUUGACGAGACCAGGAAUCAUGACAGUCAUAAUCCACAUAGGUACAAAUGACAUCUGUAGACAGCAGUCUGAGCUCCUGAAAGCUAACUUUGUCCACUUAAUCACAACACUGCAGAGGUACAUAAACCACAUCCAUAUAUCCGGCCCCAUCCCCUCCUGUGGCUGCUGCUGUGGGUGUUUCAGUCGGCUGCUGGCACCACACACCUGGCUGUCAUCAGCCUGCAUUGCUCAUGGUGUUUACUACAUCAACAUCUUAAACCUUUUCUGGUGCAGGAGAGAUCUUUUUAAGUAGUGGAGCAGACAAAUGCAUAAUAUAGCCCGAAUCGUUCACUUUGUUAUACAAGCAUGAAAUUUGGUACAUAUACUCUUCAAACCCCACUCUUUUCAAAAAUAACGUUAGCCACGCAAAAUUCCAAGAUGGCGGCCCCAAAAUCCAAGCUGUCCGCCCCAAAAAUGCGGUUUUUCCUUUAUAACUCAAAAUGACUUGAUUUUAAGCCCCAUACAUAUAUUGAAGUUGAAUAUAAAGUUCGGUAUUGCGGACAUUUUGGUAGCCAGUACAUUUCUGUAUCCAUUACGGUUCUUGAGAUACAGCAUAUGGAUACUUGUACAGAAUUGGGAGAGUGAGAAAUUUGUAACACCGAUUGUUGUUACGUGCAUAUGGUUGCAUGAAAAUAUCAUUUCCAUUAUCUGUUAUUUUCAUGAAGGUUAUAACAUUAAAUUUGAAAAACAAGAUGGUGUCCAAGGUGGCUGCCAUUGCCUUGAAGUAAUCCGAUCUUAGUGACUAUGAAACAUUAACUUUUGGCAUGCACAUAUUUUUGGUCUAUGCAUCCAAUGGGGCCAUUGCAGUACAGAAUUUAGAUGUUUAUACAGUACAAGCUUGCAGAUGUAAUAGAGUGAAUAUCGGCACACAACCAGGGCACACUGGUGAUAUCACUGCUGUGUAACUCAGCAUGACCUCCAGGGGUUCUUUCAGCAUGAGAACCAGUCCUUCCCUGUUGCAUUGAGCAAGGGUGGAAAAUUGUACACUUGCCAGAAGUCUCAGCUGACCCCUAUCCUUGAGAAUUAUGUCCCACCUAGUUGGGUCACAAAGUGAGACUCUGUGACCAUCCUCUGGCAAGGAUGUUUUGACGAUUGAUUUGACCUCUAUGGACCCUUUAGAAAAGAUUUGGCCCCCAGGUCCCUCGCAAAAAUCCUGGCAUUUUUUGCUAGACAGCCAAAUUCAAGAUGGCGGCCGGCGCCAUCUCUAAAAAUUAACUUUUGAUCUGGAUGACCUAGAAUCAUGUAUGAAGGCACUUUUCCAUACAAGUCAACCAUGAGGAUUCCAAAUCUGACAUAGUUUUAAUCAUACAACUUUGUUUUGACCGCGAUAUUCAAGAUGGCUGCCAUCUAGUACUGUAAUUCUCAACCUUUUCAGGACUUGACCCCCCAAAACAAUCAUAUUUGAACUGGGUAACCCCCAAUUUGUUUGAGUCUGUUCCACAUAUAAAUAUUGUGAAAAUAGCCGAUCUACAAGCCUGUAACACCUUGUAUUGUGAGGCGUGUGAGCUUGCAGAUCGUCUAUUUUCUUUUUCUUAUAUUAUUUGACAAUUUGGCCAAUGGUUUAGCAUUGUUUGUUGAUUACUUUGGAUGCAGUGAGGAUCUUUUUCUUUGAGGAUCUUACAAGUCCUAACAUUAUCAUUAAACUGUCAUCUGGGGGUACGCCACCAACCAAUGAUCAAGUACAGAGAAAACUUAACUUAACAACAACAUAAAGGCCAGUGAUAUUGCACUCAAACUAUCCAGUAUGCUUGAUUCAUGUCAGCAGCAGUACUUAACUCAGGCAAUUUGAUUGGCUGUCCCUUCAUGUCAGGGAUCAUCUUUGGGUCGACUUAAUGGUAUAUGUGGCUUCAUUACACAGACUACCACACUGGAGAAUACAUGACAGUCUGUCUGUUCUUGUUGGUAUAUUAUUUUCUUCCAUAUUCAAGCAGCCAUGUAUGCUGCAUGCACACUGUCUUUACAGAUCAAAUGUGUAGCUCCUCUAACUGUGGGCUCAAAAGAAUGACUGAGGCAACAUUUAGGAAAGCAGCAGCACUAAACAAGCAGCAUGUGCUAACAUGCCCUGACAUGAAGGGACAGGAGGGUGGAGGGUGGCGGACCUCGCGCAGUUGUAUUUUCGUCCGGCGGAGCCCGACGAACCGGCGUACAGCCAGUUUGGUAUUUUCAUGGACUGAGGCACAUGGAGGCGAACCGAGAUCUGCCAAGCUGGGAGUGGUGGCGUGGCAGGGGGAGGUGUCGACAGAAUCAGCGGGCGCAGUGACAUUUUCGUGCUCGCCAAUGGCAUGUAAGUGCACUGAAAGCUCGCCGAUUCAAACCUGGUCAGCUUUCAGCGCAGGCGGAGUGCAGCUGGUCUACUAGUAUUUUGGUAGACCGACAGCAUAUCGGCAUACGUCACCGAUGCCUCACCAGCAGGUUUCCACAGUUUCAGGUAAAUUUCAGUGCAAUAAAUAAUCAUCAACAACUACUAAUCUGAGUCAGCACAUACAUUUAGAUCUAUAUAGAUAUAUUCUGAUCUAUAUCUGAUCUGAUGAGCGCGUUUGGCACACGUAUUUCUUGCGCAACUCGACCUGGACACGUCUCCGUGUCCUCUCUCUGUCCUGCUGCUGCUGAACAGAUGAUUUGUUUCAGUGAUCAGAUGAGUUAUUUACUUUAAGCCUACAUACGAAUAUUAUAAUAUUCAGUUUUGUGAGGCAAAUUUAUUUUAUAUGCCAACAUCUAUGAAAGAAAGAGCCAGGCCACGGAGCGCGAUGCAUCAUUUACACACAGAUGGUUCCGAUUUUAAUGCCAUUUUUGGAGUUUAUGUUGUGAUCUGUGCGCUCAACCCACCUUUGUCACGUGAGGUUUGAAUAUAUGCAACUUUAUGUGAGUGUCUUUAUUUGUGGAAAAGGGUGUUUGUUUUACCUGUGGGUCCAACAUUACACACACCAAAUCCAUCUGUGCUCAUAUGAGAGAGUGUGGAGGACGCCAAAUGCAGCGCUUACAGUGACACUUGUUGAGGAGCUGCCUUCUGGCAUUACUGUCUUCAGACAUCUCUUGAUCUCUCUGACUACUCCACGGAAACAGUAAUACGCCUCACUGAUGGCGGAUUUAAAGGCAAGGAGAAGAGCCUAUGUGAUUGGUGAAAACAGGUCUCGGCUGUGUUAAACCCACUCCACGCCCUCUCUCCUCCCUCGCUACGACUUACGCCGCUGGGAGGAGCUGAGUUAGGGAGGGGGGAUACUUACGCCGGGCUGCGCUGCUCACCAAAAUACCAAACUGUGCUUGGGAACGCCUUGUCGGCGCGGCGGACCUGACUUAUGCCGCGCCUGCGGCAUGUCUCCGGCGAGGCACGAAAUAGAGCCCCAUGUGUUACAGGCUUGUAGAUCGGCUACUUUCACAAUAUCUAUAUGUGGAACAGAGUCAAACAAAUUGGGGUUUACCCAGUUCAAAUAUGAUUGUUUUGGGGGGGUCAAGUCCUGAAAAGGUUGAGAAUCACAGUACUAGAUGGCAGCCAUCUUGAAUAUCGCGGUCAAAACAAAGUUGUAUGAUUAAAACUAUGUCAGAUUUGGAAUCCUCAUGGUUGACUUGUAUGGAAAAGUGCCUUCAUACAUGAUUCUAGGUCAUCCAGAUCAAAAGUUAAUUUUUAGAGAUGGCGCCGGCCGCCAUCUUGAAUUUAGCUGUCAAGCAAAAAAUGCCGGGAUUUUUGCGAGGGACCUGGGGGCUAAAUCUUUUCUAAAGGGUCCAUAGAGGUCAAAUCAAUCGUCAAAACAUCCUUGCCAGAGGAUGGUCACAGAAUCUCACUUUGUGACCCAACUAACCAGUUGACAAGGAACCUGAGGCAGACGUUCUCAUUGUAGAUGGGUCAGCUUUGGACCACGCCCUGCCACCAAAAAGAUCCAAGACAUUUGAGGACUAUGCAGCUCUCGACUUCCUACCUGUGAUCUACAUGUACUCCAGCAAGUACACAAUGACACAUCUGGUCUUUGAUGUGUAAAACCCAUCAAGCCUUAAAGCUGAGACCAGGUCCAAACGUGGCCAGGGGGGAAGACACAAGGUAACAAAUAAGAACACCAUGCUAUCUAACUGGCAUAACUUCCUGAGGCACAAUGACAACAAAACAGAGUUGUCCCACCCUUGCCGAAAAGGUUGCACAAAUGUUUGCCCUAAAUACCGUCAUCGUCACAAAGGGACCUGCUGUCCUCAGCACUCGUGCAACUGGUCUUGAUGGACUGGAUAAAUGCUCUCACGAGGAAGCGGACUGCCGCAUCUUUGUGCACGCCAAACAUGCAACUGGUAGCCAAGCCAUCAUGAUCAAGGCAAAUGACACAGAUGUUCUGAUCUUAGCAAUAAGUGUAUUCAGCGGUCUCCAAGAGGCUGGCCUACAGCAUAUGUGGCUUGCAUUUAGGCAAGGUCAGACUCUGCGCUGGAUCAGUGUGCAUGACAUAUUUCAGCAUGUUGGCCAGGAGAAGGUCAAAGGCAUGCUCUUCUUCCAUGCCUUUACAGGAUGUGACACUGUGUCUGCCUUCCGCAACAAAGGCAAGAAAAUGGCUUGGCAUACAUGGGACAUAUGUCCAUAAUCCUUGCCUGUAUUCGCCAAACUGGGUAUUUACCCUCCCACAGUGGAGGACUGCGACAUAGAGGUGCUUGAGAAGCUUGUCAUUCUCAUGAAUGACAGAUCCAGCACAGCUGCUACUGUGGAUGAGGCCAGGCUUGACUUGUUUGCCAGAAAGCAGAGGCCCUAUGAGUCUAUCCCACCAACCAGAGCAGCUCUACUCCAACACACCAGGCGUGCUGCCUAUCAGGCUGGUUGUGUGUGGGCCCAGGCAACCCAGUGUCAGCCAGAAGCAGAGGACCCUGCAGACUGGGGAUAUCAAAAUGUUGGUGAGGAAUAGCAGAUCUUCUGGACAGCCAACUCUCCAAUAGCCAAGAAGACAGCCUCCACGUGGCCUCCCCCUCAAGUAGCCAGAGAGUAGUUGCCCUUUAAGCGAAACAAAUGUCUUGGCAAUGUCCACAAUGUCCAACAGACCCCCCCCCCCCCCCCACCUCCCAUAUCCAGUAGUAACAGAAUCCAUUGAAAAAUCUCUUUUGUCACUUAUUUUGGGUUUCAAACUGAGGUGUUGAAUUUUGGAUUCUGGGCAAACAAACCACUAGGGGGCGCACCCAUAUUGUUUGCGGUGUUUUUUCAAAACCUUAUACACAUACCUAACACCAUAACAAAAAUCAGAAAAUUGUCACAAAAUGCCUAAUUUUUAACCUUUUUUGACAAGUUUCAUCCUUCUGAAUUCAUGAUUCAUCUCUGCUGAAUUCAUGAUUACUUCAAGGCAAUGGCAGCCAUCUUGGACACCAUCUUGGUUUUCGAAUUUAAUGUUACAACCCUCAUGAAAAUAACAGAUAAUGGAAAUGAUAUUUUCAUGCAACCAUAUGCACGUAACAACAAUCGGUGUUACAAAUUUCUCACUCUCCCAAUUCUGUACAAGUAUCUAUAUGCUAUAUCUCAAGAACCGUAAUGGAUACAGAGAUGUACUGGCUACCAAAAUGUCCGCAAUACCCAACUUUAUAUUCAACUUCAAUAUAUGUAUGGGGCAUAAAAUCAAGUCAUUUUGAGUUAUAAAGGAAAAACCACAUUUUUGGGGCGGACAUCUUGGAUUUUGGGGCCGCCAUCUUGGAAUUUUGCGUGGCUAACGUUAUUUUUGAAAAGAGUGGGGUUUGAAGAGUAUAUGUACCAAAUUUCAUGCUUGUAUAACAAAGUGAACGAUUAUUUCCUUAUCUGCUCAGCUAAAGGUUGAUGGUGUUGAUCCGAAGUUGCUGGGGGUAAAACUGCUUACGGGAAACAUUUUUCAAGGCGUCCUCCACCCAUGUGUAACAUUCUCAGGUAAACAAAUCACUGCACCCCCUUGAACGCCCUCUGAUUAGUCCCGCUACUAUUGAUGUCAUUGGUACUGUCUACGAGGAGCCAGGAUCCAUCCCACACUAUCAGUCCCACAACAAAACUCUACACCAGUAAACUGCUUUAAUUAUCACCCCUAACACCACUAACAAAUCAUAAAACCACUGAGGGGUGCUUAUAAAGAAUAUGAUAUGGAAUGCGGUGUUCCCCAGGGUUUGAUUCUCGGCCCAACACUUUUUAAUCUCUACAUGUUAUCUUUAUCUUCAUCAGGAGGCAUGGCAUCAACUUUCACAGCUAUGCUAAUGACACCCAGCUUUCGAUUGCCAUGUCUCCUAAUGACACAGAGCCCAUUGAUGCCCCCUUUAACUGUAUUUUAGAUGUCCAGUCUUGUAUGGCAGACAACUUUUUGCAGCUAAAUCAGGGCAACACUCAGGUUUUAGUUAUUGGUACAGAUCCAUAGAGAGAGGAACUGGAGCAAAAAAUUACCCUUAUUAUAUCUUAUUAUGGUUUUGUCCCUUUAGUCUUAGGUUCAGUGUCUCCUCAUUUUCAACUGAAGAGUCCUCACCUAGUCUUUUGUGUGUGCGUCUCUGUGUGUGAGCAUGUAACUGUUUUAGGUGUUGAAUGUGGGUCAAGAGGGUGGGUGGGGUUCUGUAUUUGGAUUUUAUUUAUUCUAUUUUCUCAGGACCAUGGGGCAAGCAUACCCAGGCAUACAGGUCCCUAUGUACUUGUACAGAUGCCAGUGCCUGUGGAUUUUUGCUUAUUCCUCUUCUGGACAGAUUUUGAUUUGCUUCUAGUUCUACAGCUUGAGGAGUUGUAUGACAAAUGAUAUAUCAAAACAUGUGGAUUGAUCAGGAUCAGUGUGCUAUUGCUUUGUUGCAUACACUAUGGGGGGGGGAAGUGCAUUGAAGUCAAUGGGACGAGCCAAAAACUAGCAAUUAUUGGAGUUUUUCAAACAUCUACCUGCUCUGCAUACUUUCACCUAGAGACUCCAUUCAAACUUAAAAAUGUAGAUACAAGUCUUGUCAAUUUGUGUAUUGAUUCACAUUUUGAUAGGUAGUGUAGUUUUUGAUCCAUCACUCUUCAAUGAUCAUGAUCAUUUUUGGAGAAAUUUUGAGAUUUAAUAGGUGUGUAUUGUAUGGGUGACAUCAUCAGCUAGAUUUAGAGAAGUUGCAUGAAAUCAUCUGAAACUUUUGUCUUUUCAUGCUCCUUCCAACCACAAAUUACACUCUGACGCAUGUUAUUUUUUUUCCACAGUUGAGGACACAUUUGUUCUGUCUCUAACAAUGUGUUCAUCUGAGCAGAGAGACUUGCAUAAUUUAAAUACUGAGCCUCAAAGUGCGGCAAUGUCUCUCUCUGCUCCUCAUUGACACUAAUACAAAGAUUUUCUGAGAGAAGCAGCAGGGACUCCUGUUUAUAACUUGCAAGUAUGUUAACUGUAGAAAACACCAAAAACACCAAAAAAUCAAAACAGUCAGAAAGUCAUUACAAUGACCACUCAACUGCUUUUUUUCUGAUAGGAGCUACUGCCUCAGUCUGCGGUGCAGCUAUAGUAAUGGGCAACCAGCACAAUUCACUAAUCAGGGACUGCUCUGAUAUCUCUGCAUCAUUGAAAUAUUUAAGAGCAAUUUGAUUGAUGAGCGAGAAAAAAAAAAAAAAAACCUGACUCAAAAUAUAAAAAAAACUUAUUUGAGCCACAGGGACAUAUACAGAGGAACUGGCCUUUAAACAAUUGACAUGCUACAUAUAAAUUCUACAGCAGGCCCCUGUAAAAUAAUGUUAUACACUACUGCUAUACUGUGGAUUUUUCAAUUUGUUACUGUUUAAUUCUUCUGUAAUUCGUUGAUGAGAUGACACAUGAGACUUCAGACUCUGAUAAUGCCUCAGGGUAGAUAGAGUCACUAUUCUUAAACUGUGGAUUUUUUCUUAUUCCUCCUCCAGACAAAUUUCGACUUGCUACUACAGUCUUACAGUUUGAAGAGUUGUAUGACAUAUUAAAUAUAAAAAUGAGCAGUUCAACAGGGAUCAGUUUGUUAUUACUUUUCUCUAUUGUAUUUGAAGUUUUGGCGAUGUUAGUCACAAGAAACUUUGCAUUGAAGUCAACGGUACAAGCCAAACAAAAAAGAAAGUAUUGGAGUUUCUCACACAUCUACUAGUAUGAUUCUGGUAAUUUAUUAUAUGAAUGAAUACUUGAAAAAGGAAUGGUAGUUGUAGGUGUGCCCCUUGUAUUUAAUAUCACAAUGCUACUAAUAUUAAUUUUUUGAAAUCUCUAAAGAAACCCCUCACACCCCAGCAGUGGCUGUCGUAGCCCUUUUAAAAUUUCCCAGAGGGAAUUAUCUAGUUAUUUUUAUAUCCUGCUUGCAUGGGCAGCACUUUGCUCUACAUUUUUUUGUGUGAAUGGUGCUAUUUAAAUAAAGUUUGAUUCAUAGAUUUAUUUGUUCUCAUCAGGCCAUCCCUACUGAAGUCUUCAUCUCUUAAAGGUCACUCUCCCCGUCCUGUCAACGUGAUACGACAGCGUAUAACAAGAUGAGUCUCUGAGAGCUCUCUGCAGUCUCCUCCUGCUGCAUCUCCCUUUAAAGUGACACUACUUCCUGUCUAUUUCAGGAGACUCCUUAUUAAAAUGACAUUGUUGUCAAGAAGUCUAAAGGACAAACUGAAGCAAGUUCAUUAAAUCAGUAUAAGUGAAGAGGUACUUUGAAAUGGGUCAUGACAGGCAUGACUGAGUCAUAAUGCAGAGCUGCAGUAAUGUAUGCCUUUAUAAAACUCAUUAUUAAAGCAGGGAGACCUUCCUUCUGAGACAAUGAUGAAGACUAAAAUAUCCUCAUAGUGUUAAUUAACAUUCAGCUGGGAGAAAUAUGAGCAUCACAGCCCAUUAAUACGAUAAUGAUGUCCAUCUUUGAGGCCAGUUAGGUGACUGAUUAUAUCACUGACUGGACUACAUUUUUUCACACAGUCCUGGAGCAGCAAUAAAGCUAAAAGACCUCCUGAAGCAGCUGCUGGUUUCUGGAGACUGGUGCAGCUGUCGUUCAAGUGUCCUGUUUUGGGGGCAAACUUGGUCUGAUUAGUUGGGACAGAAUUCAUCGUACUCGGGAUGGUGCGGCUCGUUUAUCCAGAAAUCUGACUGAUUUUGUUAGCCCUUGCUACUCUGGCCGGGGUGGUGGAGUUGCAGCUACUUAUAAUUCCAGUCUUAAAAUUAAUGUCUUCUUAGUUUCCCACAUCCAGCCUCAAAGACCACGAGACCAGUACUAUUUGCUCCCUUGCCCUCCCAAUCCAUACUAAGAGUUUUCUCAGUUUCUCAGUUUCUUUUUGAUCUAGUCCUCAGUGCAGACAAGGUCGUUGUUGUAGGUGACUUUCAUAUUCAUGUGGAUGUGGAUUAAGAUAGCCUUAGCAUUGCUUUCUUGUCUCGGUUAGACUCAGUUGAGUUUACACAGUGUGUACACAGACCUACACAAUGUUUUUACCACACCCUCGAUCUUGUCCUGGCUUAUGCCCUUGAAGCUUAAACCUUCUAAGUCAGCUUGCUAAAUCCCCUUUUAUCAGACCGCUUCCUUAUAGCUUUUGAAAAUGUGCUAUCAGGCUAUUCUCCUCACAAUAAAACGCCGCCAACUAGAAGGUUGUCUGAAAGUGCUGUAGCAAAGUUAAUGGAGGUAACUCUGUUUUCUCUUAAUUCAGCAUUUAAUCCAAUAUGUCAUUAUUAAUAGGAUAUGUCCUAGUCUUUGAAAACUGCAGUGAUUAAACCUCUUCUUAAAAAACCUACGCUUGACUCAGGCACUUUAUCUAACUCUAGACCGAUAUCUAACCUUCCCUUUAUUUCUAAAAUCCUAGAGAAAGGAUUUGUGGUUUGUGAUGUGAAUCAGCUUUGUGAUUUUUUUUUUCAUAGCAAUAGUUUUUUGGAGAAUUUUCACUAAGGAUUUAGAGUCCAGUAGGUGACAAAUGACCUACGUAUGGCUUUGGACAAUGGUUUUCCCUCUGUUCUUGUCCUGCUAGAUCUUUGUGCUGCAUUUGAUACAUUCGGCUAUCACAUCCUGCUACAGAGACUAGAACAACCAAUUGCAAGAACUGCUCUAUCCUGGUUUAAAUCCUUUUUACCAGAUCCCAGUUUGUCCACGUUAAUGAUAAAUCCUCUGUGCAUACCAAAGUCAGCUACGGUAUCCCACAAGGUUCAGUGCUUGGACCAAUUCUUUUCACUUUUAACAUGCUUCUCUUGGGUAAAAUUAUGUGGAAAGACUAGGUUAAUUUUCACAGUUAUGCAGUGGACACUCAGUUAUUCUUAUCCAUGAAGCCAGGAGGAACAAAUUGGGUGUAGCAGAGAUGACCACUUUUACAUCCAAACUCCCAAAGGAAUGUAAGGCUUACAUCUGGUCACUGGAGAUGAGAUGGUGUAGACCUUUAACACCAAAUCACAACCUUUCUACAACCUCCUGUCUUUAGAAGACAACCAAAGAAGCCUUCUCAAAAGGACAAACCUUUUAUCCUUUCUACUUCAAAAGACAGAGACAGGAUAGUUUAUUGCCAGCAGGAAAGAACUGCAGGACCACUCAAUCAGUUAAACAUUUGUCAUCACACCUUGACUGGAAAGUGACAGGUUUAUCAGUUUAACCAUAAAUAUUAACUAUGGUUGAUCUUCCCUGUGUUCUCUUUGAGUACAAUCCAAAGAGAAUAACUACAACUAGUCUUAUUACAGGUUGGGUGGACACUGCACAACGAUCUUCUGUCAGUACUAAACAUUUGCAGUAAAACAGUCUUUGUCCCAUUUGUCGAUCAUGUUCAUAAGCCAAGAUCUCUGUAGCGAUUUGAAUUGAUAAUAAAUGUCUUAAGAUUAAUAAUUGAUAAUAAUCUUAAUUUAUGAUAUUUAUGCACUCGUUGAAAGGGGCACCACCCACACUUCAUGGUGGGAAAACAAAGAAAAACAAAAGUUUAAUUCAGAAAUCAAACAUUAAGUCAAUCUUAAAUUAAUCAAUCUCAUAUCUCAAGCUGAAAUUCUCAUUUCAGGGACUCCACUUGGAAGAAAACUAACAGACAAGAACGAAAAAUAAUGAUCUGUUUAUUACAGGAUAAAUGAUGGUACAACAUACAUGCAAUAAAUGAUGAUAAGAAAAUGAGGAUAGAUAAUAAUAGGUGAGUAAUAAAAGAUUCUGAGUCAGGCUAGUACAGGAUAGUAAGUGAAUAUGCUCUAACAUAUUAACCUGCAUUAACUUUGGUGUCAAGAUAAAUUGAAUGUGGAUUUGGAUGAAUUUAGGAUUAUAAAAUAAAGAAAAAAAUUCAAUCAUUUAGCAUGAGACAGCAUCAGCCCUGUUUGGAACUCUGGAGGUUUGCAUACUUAAGUGAAAUUGGCCCUUGGAGAAGAUGGAGCAGGUACGGAAGGUCCAGGGCUACCGGCGGUUCGAGAGAUUCAGCUCAGAAGAUGACCGAAGUUAGCCGAAAGAUGGGCCAGGAGUCGCAGCACUCAGGCCCGAAGCAAAAAACAGCGCUUAAUAUAUCCUUUGGAUGCUUCUUUGGUCUCACAAAAACUCUGGCACAGAGGAUGACUGGGCCUGCUGGGUGGCAUUCAGGGGUGACUUUGCAAUCACGGAGAUUAAAAAGUAGGCUUGAUGGCCAGUCGAAACUGUAGUGAUUUAAAUGAGCCUCACACGGUCGCACCAAAAUAUAUGUAGCGAUUUGAAAUGAGCCUCACAAGGCUGCACCAAAAUAAUACUGUAGCGAUUGGAAUUUAUAAUAAAUGUCUGAAGAUUAAUAAUCUUAAAUUAUGACAUUUAUGCACUGGUUGAAAGGGGCACCACCCACCCUUAAUGGUGGGAAAAUAAAGAAAACAAAAGUUUAAUUCAGAAAUCAAACAUCAAGUCAGUUUUAAUUAAUCAGUUUUAAUUAAUCAGUCUCAUAUCUUAAGUCGAAAUUCUAAUUUCAGGGACUCCACUUCUGGAAGAACACUAACAGACCAGAACUUAGAAAAAUAAUUAUCUGUUUAUUACAGGAUAAAUGAUGGUACAACACACAUGCAAUAAAUGAUGAUAAGAUAAUGAAGAUAAAUAAUAAUAGGUGAAUAAAUAAAGAUUCUGAGUCAGACUAGGAGCACUAAAGUUAAUGAUAGUGAGUGAAUAUGCGCUAACAUAUUAACCUACACUAACUUUGGUGUCGAGAUAAACUCGGAUGUGGAUUUGGAGGAAUCUAAGAUUACCAGAAUAAGUGGAUAUCUGAGUUAUGAACGCAGGAGACAGCACCAGCCCUCUUUGGAGCUCUGGAGGUUUGCAUACUUAAGUGAGACUGGUCCUUGGAGAAGAUAGAGCAGGUUCCGAAGGUCCGGGGCUACUGGCGGUUCAAGGGGUUCAGCUCAGAAGACGACUGAAGUCAGCCGAAGGAUGAGCCAGGAGUUGCAGCACUCGGGCCCGAAGCAAAGCCAGCGCCUGUGGAUCCUGUGGAUGCUCGUUUGGGUACUUCUUUGGUCUCACUCAAAACUCUGGCACAGAGGAUGACCUGGGCCUGCUGGGUUGCGUUCAGAGGUGACUUGAAAUCACGCAGAUAACUCAGAAAAACGAGACUCGAGCAGAGAAAACUUUCAAAAAUGGCUUCGCGAAAUUAAAGAAAAAUCAAUCAAAGGCUUAAUCUUGAAUUGCUAUGUGCGCAAAAAGUUGAAGUUUCAAAACUUGAACUAAGACGAUGUUAAAGAAAAAUCAACGUGAAUCAACACGUGGCGUAAACUUAGUUAGACUAAGAAAAAGUUCUAAGAGAAAACAAAGAAACGCACCACAGAAGGGUGUGGGCAGAAGAGAGGGUAUAAGAGUCUAGAGAGAAUAAGAGUGAACAAGAGAGUGAAGAGAAAAAGAGCAACCCCACUUCACUGGUUUUAUCUUCUCACACUGGGAGUGUUUCCGGGGUGUGUGUGUGAGGAGAAAGGAGGGGUCGUGGAAUCUCUGAUUAUUUGAUCUAACUUAUUCUUUUGGCUGGUAAAAGAGUCAGAUCUGAUACUCACUCACUAUGAUUAAUAUCAUUGAAUGCUAGGUUUCAUGAUAAAUAAUUUGAUACUAAACACAUAUGAAUGAAGUGCAGGAUCACAUCAAACAUUCUCAUUAUGUUUUAAGUAUCACAUUGAACAUGCUAAAUUACUCUGAAAUGAAACAGAUAGUAACACAUGGAAACUGUGAACAACAAAAGAGUAAACACAUGUGAAUGAACGUCAUCAUGAUUAAUAAUGGAUUCUAAAUACUCACAUUCAGAUUAUUCAAUGACAUUAUAACCACCUAAUGGUUAAAAAUACUAAAUAAACAUCUACAAUAUAAACCAAACAUUUCUAAACUAUUUCUGUGUUCAUAGAGUAAGUUAUGAUCCAUAGUCAAUAAAUUAAACUCUUAACAGUUCAUGAAACAGUCUGAAAAGCUGUUGGUCUAAAGAAACUAAAGAGCGAUAACUCGGCUUCUGGAGCACAUAGAAAAACGGGAAACAUCUCAUUUUAACACAAAUUUCAUGAUUAGACAGAUUAGUACAUUGCUGAAUGCAUAAGAUGUCAUGAUCAGUCAUUUGUAUUCUUUCACCAACGGAAUGUAGUCUUUAUCAGUGCAUGGUCGAGCAGGGUUUUACGACCGAGGUCUGGAGGUCAGUGUCCCCCCUUUUCCUGGGGUCCGUAUGUUCACACACUUUAAGACGCUAAAUCUCAAAUGGGAGAUCUGGGUUGAGGUUAAUGUUUAUUUAGAUGGUCAGCGAUGGAGUCAGUUUGAAAGGUAAUAAAAACUCUGUCUCUGUUCUCCGAAUCAACCAAUCGUGAAGAGUCAGAGGUUUAGUCAACCUCCGGUUGGGUCACUUAUUUAACCUGAAAGUGUAAACGAGUCUGGAAAGAUUUAUAUCCUGUUUCCUGGGACCAGAUAAGGAAACUUUCCUCUGAGGAAUGUGUGGGUUUCACACCCAGGGUUGUCUUGAUUGCUACAGUCCCCCCUUCGUCACGGUGGUCCUGUCUAUGGAGCAUCGGGACGACGAGUAGACAACCAUGAAGCAGCAGCAGCAGCAGGUAUAUGCAAAUAGGACUGAUGCGUCUCAUCGUCACUAUGUGAAUCACUAGGACUGCUUUGAGAUAAAAUUAAGCAUGCAUUAAGCUAUCAAAUAAAAUCGUCUAGUUUUUAGACUUUUCUCAGUUAACUAUUGGUAGACUAAUGUGAAAGAAAAUCUCCUAAUUUUUAGUAUUAAUGAGAUUUAGAAAAGCACUCUUUAGUCUGAAUGCUAACUGGAUCUAAAGCUAUAGCUGUUUUUCACGCUUGCUGGAGAAGUCUGAAAGUUCCAUUUCAGUUUCAAAAAUGGUUAAGACUUUGGUGGAAAAGAAAUGUCUGCUAUAGACAUAUUAACCAUCUGUGUAUGAGCAUAGUCAACCUGAAUCACAAACAUCAAAAGUUUACUGCACAGAGUUUCUCUUAAGCUUUGUCUGUUAAACUUGGGGAUGAUGCUCUUAUUGGUUUGACUAAUUAUCUGCUGUUGAGUCUGAAAUUUGUCAAUCUGAGUCUCAAUGACAGAAAUUUCAGCUUUUAAUCUGUUCAUGGGAUAUUUGACAGCUGACAAGCUGACCAUAUUGACAGAGGAGAGACAAAUGCUAACAAAGAAAGCAGCAACUGGGUUGCAGUCAUCAAUGUAUCACCACAGCAUUUGGAUAUCUUAUGGGAGUCAUUUAGCUUUGGCUGGGUGACUUCUGCUUUCGCAGGACUCACGCCUUCAUGACUCCACAGUGUUAAUCUCAGUGGUUAGCUGAGUGGUCAUGUUUAUUCACCUUCAAAGUGGAUGAAACCGAUUGAGGUGGAUAAUAAGAUCGUCGUUUCGAGAUCGAGUGUGAUUUACUCUGAUUCUGCCAGUCAUUCACCCCCCUUUGGCGGUGUUGAUGGUUUUUCCUUUGUCUAGGAUAAAACCCACCGUGACAGGAGUCUGAAUAACAACAGUUGGUCUCAAAGUUUACCCGGCAUUGGUCUGUGUCAGACCUGGGCCUUGGUGUGUAACUUUGACCUUUGUGAGUUUGUUGAGGUCGAAAAGGUUUUGGAGGCCAGGUUAACCACUCAUUUGGAGGCUUAUCGGAGCCUGAAAAUACACAGUCUGAAGUUUCGUUCAGCUCCAUGGGCAGUGAUUUUGUCUCCAUAGCCAAGAGAGUAACGGGCUCUGCCUUCUUAGCCAAAGUUUGUCGUUGUUUGGCAAAACCUUUUACAGCAAGUUCACGAAGCUGUCGGCUAGUCAAAGUGUUUGGACAAGCUAAGACGCCAAGGUGAUGACUGGUGGUAGGGUGGAGGUUCUGGACCAACAGCGUUUUGAAGUUCAAGUCCUCCUCCAUUUCUGGUUCAUUUCGGAAACCAAAGUAAGCUUCGCGUAAGCGGUUGUAAUAUUGUUGGGGAGAUUCUGAUCUCCCUUGUUUAAUAGACAGAGCAGCAGAAAGGCCUGUCUGGGUCAAAUAAUCAGAAAACUCUUCAAUUAAUGCUUGGCAGAGCAAGUCAUAAUUAUUUCUGACAUGAUAAGGCUGUUGUUCAUGGAAACUGCUAACCUCUCGACUUGACGUCGCCUUAAUAAGGUAGAUUUUGUCAUCAAUGGUGGCACCUGGAAAUUUCCUCAGGUAAAAGUCAAUGUCUUUCAAGUAGGUGCAGGUGUCAGUAGCACCUUGGUGCUCAGGUUCAAAGCGUGCUACGUUGCGAGCAAUUUUGUCAAGAUCCCUAUCUGAGGGAGAUGGUAAGAAGCCAUCAUGAGGAGGAGAGUAGGACUUUUGGCUUAAGGAUGACCUCUCAGGGUCAAGCAGGGUCCUGUCAUGAUGCUGAGAGAGAUACUUAAGAGUUGGUUUGGAAGGAAGUGAUGGCGCUCUCUCAGGAGGCUGAUCACCUAUCAUUUCUUCAAGAAAUGUUUGCUCCAUGCGUUCUCUUUGGGCUCGACCUGACUGGAGGGAGCAUUGUAACUCUCUUUGGGCAUCUUCAAGUUCUUUGUCUGUCUUUUCUUGCCGUUCUUGACAAAGAAUUAACUGUCUCUGAGCUAUCUGUAGCUGGUGCUGUAAGGUAGAAGUUUGCUUCUCCUUAACUUCAAGAGCUUCAGCACGCACUUUGACCAGUGCUUUCAAAGCAUUUACAUCUUCUGUUGCUUGCUCUAGUAGGGAUUCUGACUGUAUCAGAUCCUCUGUGGUCUUAGCAAGCUGCUUAUUCGUGUCAUCAAGUUCUUUCUCCUUUUUGUAAAGGGUUUCAUUAAGUCUUUCAAUCUUGUCUUUGAGAUCAAGAUUUUCUUCAUGACUUAUCAGUGAGGGAAGCUUUGACGCUUCACAUCUGGCACUGUGUUUUUCUAAAACACUUAGAGACUUCUUAGUCUCCUCUAGCGUCUUUUUCAGUGCGCUGUUUUCAUCUUUUUGCGUCUUUAUCUUUGCUAAAGCGCAUUCCAGCAAGUAGUCUUUAUACUCAAGCUGAGAAGACAUCACGACAGACAUGCAUCUAGUGAGCUCUUUGUCACGCAGUGUCGUGGUUAAGGCUGUUUCCAGUAAGUCAGCCAUUGCAUCCUCCGGAUUGGAGGGUUUGGCCUUUCGAAUCUUAGUCAUGUACUGAGGUAUCAGCUGACUAGUCAAGUUUGCCAACACUGUGUGUAUGUCCCUCAGGGGGUCUCCCUGGCUGGACUCUUUUGUGUUAGGCAUGUUUGGUUUUGGUAAAGAGGUGCAGCUGGUUGGUUGAUGAGUUUGAGUUGACUUAAAAUGAAAGGAAGAAGCACAAUAUCAAAUUAAGUGGGUUAAUCGACUUAAUUUAUCAGUGCUUGAUAAAGAGGAAGAGCCUAUCUGAGUAGAUAUCUAAUGGAGAGAAAAAAAACAUUAAGUUAAAUUCAUUUCAAUAAAAAUUGAAAGAAAAACAAGGUGAAAUAAUGUUAAAUUAAAUUUAACAUCAGAUACAGAACCAUUGAAUAAAGGGUUCAAUUUGUCUCCGUGUUGCAGAGAUCGGCAAAGCUUAAAUAAACUGCCUGAUGCAGUUGGAUGAAUUUGAAAAAUCAAUGAAAUUGUCAAUUUAAGGAAUUAACUCUGAAGUUAAUUCACAAAUUGCAAUAAAUCCAAAGGUUCAACUACCAAAUCCAUCUGGAGUGUUAAAAGAAAUUUCAAAUAUUAAUUAAUUUGUUCAUUAAUUAAUUAAUCAAUCUUAUGAGGAGGGUUAAUACAUUCACGUAUUAUAGGGAACAGUAAAACUGCUCACUGGUGUGAUAAGUAACAACAGAUCAGGUGAUUGAUUCAAGGAGUUACUUCAUCAAUACAUCAUGGAGGCUCUUAUAACAAAGAUAAAAAUCAAAAUCAAUGAUCAGUGAUUUAGAAUAAGCACAUCAAACUUCAUCAACCAAGUCAAUCACUUGAAUUAUGUCUGUAGAGUGUUACACACUGACUACAGAGAGGCAGUACAGCUGGCUGAUACUGCAGGCAGAUAAUAGCAGUGUUAGCUCAAUACCAAAAGCAACCAUGUGGGGCAGUAUGGAGUUGGGAGAACUGCACAAGCUCAACACAAGUAGAGAAGAAGAAGAAAAGAGGAAACAGUCAUCCAACUAGCCUCUCGUGGCUGUGUGAAGUUGGGAAGCAUGAGGGAAGGGGCCUUUAGGCUCUGCCUCCUUGAAGGGCCUUAUCUGCUUAAGGCCAAAAGGUCAGUCUCUCCACUGACAACAAAGGGUUAACAUUUCACAGCAGGCUGCAUCUGCACCCUCAGACAUAGAACUUUACACCAUCUGCUCAGGCAGAUUGGUUCAAUAGAAUCAUUUACAGGAACAAGAAUCAAAGUGACAAAUCCUUAAACAGCAGAUUCAACUGCAAACUUAAAAUCACAAAUGCAGCGAUUUGUGAACACAAAUUUUGUCUGAAUUCAAUCAAACAACAACCUCCCACUGUUACAGUGGUUUCCUGUGACAGGUAGCUAAUCUGUCAGGGGAAAGGAGGAAAUCUGAAUCCCAUAUAGUUACUAGAACCUCGUAGCAGACUAUAGAGACUUCAGGGGCUUGAAACCACAGCUCGGAGCAUCGCGAACACUGGGUUCAGCCAAAGGCCUUAAAUACAAGCGUACGGCGACGCAACAAUCGUGCACUUAAAUAUUGGACAGUCUAGACAGAGCAGAAGAAGCAGUCUCACUGCUACUCAGAACAACAUUUCACGCUGUCCAGCUCAAACACAGACUACAGGCAUGUAGUACAAAAGUGUGUGAAACACAGAGCACAAAGGUUUUAUGCAUAGAUCAGGAAAACAUCAGAACUUAGUCAAGCAACUUCAGCAAGCAUAGCAUUGAUUGUGAUUAAGUCUAAAAUAGCCGGGAAAUAAGUUUCUCUCAUCAAUUUGGAAGCUAAGUUUUAGGUUGUCUGUUAGUAUCCAGAAGUUUUGUUUGAAACGCCUCACACGGGGCACCAAAAUAUAUGUAGUGAUUUAAAUGAGCCUCACACGGUCGCACCAAAAUAUAUGCAGCGAUUUGAAAUGAGCCUCACAAGGCCGCACCAAAAUAAUACUGUAGCGAUUGGAAUUUAUAAUAAAUUGUCUGAAGAUUAAUAAUCUUAAAUUAUGACAUUUAUGCACUCGUUCAAAGGGGCACCACCCACCCUUAAUGGUGGGAAAAUAAAGAAAACAAAAGUUUAAUUCAGAAAUCAAACAUCAAGUCAGUUUUAAUUAAUCAGUUUUAAUUAAUCAGUCUCAUAUCUUAAGUCGAAAUUCUAAUUUCAGGGACUCCACUUCUGGAAGAACACUAACAGACCAGAACUUAGAAAAAUAAUUAUCUGUUUAUUACAGGAUAAAUGAUGGUACAACACACAUGCAAUAAAUGAUGAUAAGAUAAUGAAGAUAAAUAAUAAUAGGUGAAUAAAUAAAGAUUCUGAGUCAGACUAGGAGCACUAAAGUUAAUGAUAGUGAGUGAAUAUGCGCUAACAUAUUAACCUACACUAACUUUGGUGUCGAGAUAAACUCGGAUGUGGAUUUGGAGGAAUCUAAGAUUACCAGAAUAAGUGGAUAUCUGAGUUAUGAACGCAGGAGACAGCACCAGCCCUCUUUGGAGCUCUGGAGGUUUGCAUACUUAAGUGAGACUGGUCCUUGGAGAAGAUAGAGCAGGUUCCGAAGGUCCGGGGCUACUGGCGGUUCAAGGGGUUCAGCUCUGAAGACGACUGAAGUCAGCCGAAGGAUGAGCCAGGAGUUGCAGCACUCGGGCCCGAAGCAAAGCCAGCGCCUGUGGCUCCUGUGGAUGCUCGUUUGGGUACUUCUUUGGUCUCACUCAAAACUCUGGCACAGAGGAUGACCUGGGCCUGCUGGGUUGCGUUCAGAGGUAACUUGAAAUCACGCAGAUAACUCAGAAAAACGAGACUCGAGCAGAGAAAACUUUCAAAAAUGGCUUCGCGAAAUUAAAGAAAAAUCAAUCAAAGGCUUAAUCUUGAAUUGCUAUGUGCGCAAAAAGUUGAAGUUUCAAAACUUGAAUUAAGACGAUGUUAAAGAAAAAUCAACGUGAAUCAACACGUGGCGUAAACUUAGUUAGACUAAGAAAAAGUUCUAAGAGAAAACAAAGAAACGCACCACAGAAGGGUGUGGGCAGAAGAGAGGGUAUAAGAGUCUAGAGAGAAUAAGAGUGAACAAGAGAGUGAAGAGAAAAAGAGCAACCCCACUUCACUGGUUUUAUCUUCUCACACUGGGAGUGUUUCCGGGGUGUGUGUGUGAGGAGAAAGGAGGGGUCGUGGAAUCUCUGAUUAUUUGAUCUAACUUAUUCUUUUGGCUGGUAAAAGAGUCAGAUCUGAUACUCACUCACUAUAAUUAAUAUCAUUGAAUGCUAGGUUUCAUGAUAAAUAAUUUGAUACUAAACACAUAUGAAUGAAGUGCAGGAUCACAUCAAACAUUCUCAUUAUGUUUUAAGUAUCACAUUGAACAUGCUAAAUUACUCUGAAAUGAAACAGAGAGUAACACAUGGAAACUGUGAACAACAAAAGAGUAAACACAUGUGAAUGAACGUCAUCAUGAUUAAUAAUGGAUUCUAAAUACUCACAUUCAGAUUAUUCAAUGACAUUAUAACCACCUAAUGGUUAAAAAUACUAAAUAAACAUCUACAAUAUAAACCAAACAUUUCUAAACUAUUUCUGUGUUCAUAGAGUAAGUUAUGAUCCAUAGUCAAUAAAUUAAACUCUUAACAGUUCAUGAAACAGUCUGAAAAGCUGUUGGUCUAAAGAAACUAAAGAGCGAUAACUCGGCUUCUGGAGCACAUAGAAAAACGGGAAACAUCUCAUUUUAACACAAAUUUCAUGAUUAGACAGAUUAGUACAUUGCUGAAUGCAUAAGAUGUCAUGAUCAGUCAUUUGUAUUCUUUCACCAACGGAAUGUAGUCUUUAUCAGUGCAUGGUCGAGCAGGGUUUUACGACCGAGGUCUGGAGGUCAGUGUCCCCCCUUUUCCUGGGGUCCGUAUGUUCACACACUUUAAGACGCUAAAUCUCAAAUGGGAGAUCUGGGUUGAGGUUAAUGUUUAUUUAGAUGGUCAGCGAUGGAGUCAGUUUGAAAGGUAAUAAAAACUCUGUCUCUGUUCUCCGAAUCGACCAAUCGUGAAGAGUCAGAGGUUUAGUCAACCUCCGGUUGGGUCACUUAUUUAACCUGAAAGUGUAAACGAGUCUGGAAAGAUUUAUAUCCUGUUUCCUGGGACCAGAUAAGGAAACUUUCCUCUGAGGAAUGUGUGGGUUUCACACCCAGGGUUGUCUUGAUUGCUACAAAACUAUUU
rnacentral:lncRNA from 1 species